GUAAGACAAAUCAUUACUGCAUUCUUAUUUUUCAUUUUUGCUACUUCUCUGUCUUCCAUAACCUAUGAUAUUCUUUGAUCUCUAAAUGUUAGGGAUUUUAACUGAUUUUGUUUUUCUUAAAAUUUCUUUCUUGAUGAUAGUUCUCAGGCAGCCCAAGUGGGGCCUGUUUAGGGCAAAUUGAGACAGCAAACCCUAAAAGGGGGGGGUCAAGGAAAGUUGAAGUCUGAGGAGAUUCUAUUAAUUCUAUUUUCAAGGUCUUUUCAGGCUGUUUAGGUUCUGGGUGUUGACUCCUAUUGCAGCUGGCUGGAAUGACGGAGCAUCUCCUGACAGGGUUCCACUUCAGCAGAAGCCACCGCUCAUAAAUUCCUCUUACGACCUUCCAGAAUUAUCCAAUGGAGAGUACUGAGUUCUUGCGGCAACUCACAUUUGGUUGGGAACACGUUAAGAAGGCAUUUGUCUGCCUAAUGACCUGCAAGCAGGAAGGAUAUUCUGUGACCUUACUUUGUUCUGUUGACCUUCCCUGGGGACGCCUCACCCGAGGACAGUGGGCGCAGAGGGUGCUGCAGAAGCUGUAUCACCUUCAUUCUCUGCUAGCUUCAUGGUCUACAUGGGACAGCCCUUCAGUCUAUUAUUUUACAGUUGUAUUUGUGCCACGGGUA
ensembl:lncRNA